rnacentral:misc_RNA from 1 species
GGCCUUUUACAGUUCAAUAGGCCAUAAGCAAUUGCCUUUGUACAAACUCAGGCCAACAAGUAAUCAGAUAUCAGCAAGCAAGGAUGAAGAUCUGGACAAGCUGUCUAGUGGUGAUAGUGUCCUUAAGAGCUGUAGAAGUGGUUCUGAUGAUCGUAAAAUGACUGAGAUGGAGCUGUCUGGCUCAUUGGAGUCUCCUAGAGGAACGAGGAGCAUGAUAUCCCGUUCACAGAUCUCGAAUGAAAAUGCUGGAGGAAAAUCUGAAAAAGGUUUUGAGUCACGAGAACGGAAGAAGAGCAAGUACCUGUCAUAUCCUUAUGUAAACAGUUGGGCCUCCCGUAAGAAUUCACUUGGCCAGGGAGAAGAUGAAACUGAAGAUUGCGAGGAAGUUACUCCUGGUGGAGUAAAGAGAUCCUCCAAUCCAUCUAUGGUCUCCACUCCAAUUGGUAACAGCAGUAAUAAGACCUCACUAAGGAAAUCGAGGAAAUCUGUUAAUGACAAUGAUAUUUGCAAUAAUGCAGAUUUCAGUGCUGUCUCUUCG